GGCUAAAUACUACUGACUGACCGAUAGUGAACUAGUACCGUGAGGGAAAGGCGAAAAGAACCCCGGAGAGGGGAGUGAAAUAGAUCCUGAAACCGUAUGCGUACAAGCAGUGGGAGCCCACUUUGUUGGGUGACUGCGUACCUUUUGUAUAAUGGGUCAGCGACUUAUUUUCAGUGGCAAGCUUAACCGAAUAGGGGAGGCGUAGCGAAAGCGAGUCUUAAUAGGGCGUCUAGUCGCUGGGAAUAGACCCGAAACCGGGCGAUCUAUCCAUGGGCAGGUUGAAGGUUGGGUAACACUAACUGGAGGACCGAACCGACUACCGUUGAAAAGUUAGCGGAUGACCUGUGGAUCGGAGUGAAAGGCUAAUCAAGCUCGGAGAUAGCUGGUUCUCCUCGAAAGCUAUUUAGGUAGCGCCUCAUGUAUCACUGUAGGGGGUAGAGCACUGUUUCGGCUAGGGGGUCCUCCCGACUUACCAAACCGAUGCAAACUCCGAAUACCUACAAGUGCCGAGCAGGGGAGACACACGGCGGGUGCUAACGUCCUUCGUGAAAAGGGAAACAACCCAGACCGUCAGCUAAGGUCCCAAAGUUAUGGUUAAGUGGGGAACGAUGUGGGAAGGCUUAGACGGCUAGGAGGUUGGCUUAGAAGCAGCCCCCAUUUAAAGAAAGCGUAAUAGAUCACUAGUCGAGUCGGCCUGCGCGGAAGAUUUAACGGGGCUCAAACCAUACACCGAAGCUACGGGUAUCAUCUUAGGAUGAUGCGGUAGAGGAGCGUUCUGUAAGCCUGUGAAGGUGAGUUGAGAAGCUUGCUGGAGGUAUCAGAAGUGCGAAUGCUGACAUGAGUAACGAUAAUGGGUGUGAAAAACACCCACGCCGAAAGACCAAGGUUUCCUGCGCAACGUUAAUCGACGCAGGGUUAGUCGGUCCCUAAGGCGAGGCUGAAAAGCGUAGUCGAUGGAAAACAGGUUAAUAUUCCUGUACUUCUGGUUAUUGCGAUGGAGGGACGGAGAAGGCUAGGCCAGCUUGGCGUUGGUUGUCCAAGUUUAAGGUGGUAGGCUGGAAUCUUAGGUAAAUCCGGGAUUCUAAGGCCGAGAGCUGAUGACGAGUUAACUUUUAGUUAACGAAGUGGUUGAUGCCAUGCUUCCAAGAAAAGCUUCUAAGCUUCAGGUAACCAGGAACCGUACCCCAAACCGACACAGGUGGUUGGGUAGAGAAUACCAAGGCGCUUGAGAGAACUCGGGUGAAGGAACUAGGCAAAAUGGCACCGUAACUUCGGGAGAAGGUGCGCCGGUGAGGGUGAAGCAUUUACUGCGUAAGCCCACGCCGGUCGAAGAUACCAGGCCGCUGCGACUGUUUAUUAAAAACACAGCACUCUGCAAACACGAAAGUGGACGUAUAGGGUGUGACGCCUGCCCGGUGCCGGAAGGUUAAUUGAUGGGGUUAGCUAACGCGAAGCUCUUGAUCGAAGCCCCGGUAAACGGCGGCCGUAACUAUAACGGUCCUAAGGUAGCGAAAUUCCUUGUCGGGUAAGUUCCGACCUGCACGAAUGGCGUAACGAUGGCGGCGCUGUCUCCACCCGAGACUCAGUGAAAUUGAAAUCGCUGUGAAGAUGCAGUGUAUCCGCGGCUAGACGGAAAGACCCCGUGAACCUUUACUAUAGCUUUGCACUGGACUUUGAAUUUGCUUGUGUAGGAUAGGUGGGAGGCUUUGAAGUGUGGACGCCAGUCUGCAUGGAGCCAACCUUGAAAUACCACCCUGGCAACUUUGAGGUUCUAACUCAGGUCCGUUAUCCGGAUCGAGGACAGUGUAUGGUGGGUAGUUUGACUGGGGCGGUCUCCUCCUAAAGAGUAACGGAGGAGUACGAAGGUGCGCUCAGACCGGUCGGAAAUCGGUCGUAGAGUAUAAAGGCAAAAGCGCGCUUGACGGCGAGACAGACACGUCGAGCAGGUACGAAAGUAGGUCUUAGUGAUCCGGUGGUUCUGUAUGGAAGGGCCAUCGCUCAACGGAUAAAAGGUACUCCGGGGAUAACAGGCUGAUACCGCCCAAGAGUUCAUAUCGACGGCGG
rnacentral:rRNA from 1 species